UAGGGAAUCUUCCACAAUGGACGCAAGUCUGAUGGAGCAACGGCCGCGUGAGUGAAGAAGGUUUUCGGACCGUAAAGCUCUGUUGUUGGUGAAGAAGGAUAGAGGUAGUAACUGGCCUUUUAUUUGACGGUAAUCAACCAGAAAGUCACGGCUAACUACGUGCCAGCAGCCGCGGUAAUACGUAGGUGGCAAGCGUUGUCCGGAUUUAUUGGGCGUAAAGCGAGCGCAGGCGGAAGAAUAAGUCUGAUGUGAAAGCCCUCGGCUUAACCGAGGAAUUGCAUCGGAAACUGUUUUCUUGAGUGCAGAAGAGGAGAGUAGAACUCCAUGUGUAGCGGUGGAAUGCGUAGAUAUAUGGAAGAAUACCAGUGGCGAAGGCGGCUCUCUGGUCUGCAACUGACGCUGAGGCUCGAAAGCAUGGGUAGCGAACAGGAUUAGAUACCCUGGUAGUCCAUGCCGUAAACGAUGAGUGCUAAGUGUUGGGAGGCUUCCGCCUCUCAGUGCUGCAGCUAACGCAUUAAGCACUCCGCCUGGGGGAGUACGACCGCAAGGUUGAAAC
rnacentral:rRNA from 1 species